CGCCGGUCCCUGGUCCCCCAGACCUCCAUUCAAGGUCAAAACUUUGCCCAGCUCAGCCUUGCUCGACCCUGGGCAGGGAAGCGCGGACAUCGGCAGAGGGAGCCCGAGGCUCUCCGUGCCCCUCGCGCCGCUCCCCAAAGAUGGAUAACACUAACAUAUAGUCAGUGGGAAAGAAAUCUCAGAAAAUAACUGUUAGUUUGUCACUGUCAUGGGAAAUGGGAAGGAAGAAAAACAGCACUUAUCAAGCAUCUUCUGUGUACAAACUGCCAUUUCAGACUCAGAGCAGUCCUUGAAGGUCAAGAACUGUGGAAUCUUUCAGAUGAUAUUCUGAUACUUCUGGACAAAGAUUGAAUUUGUUCUUCAUGAAAAAUGUCUGGGACCUUUUAUAUGGACGGGGAAUACCAACAUAGAGAUGGUCAAGAAAAUUUGCGCUCCGACCUAAACCAAGCACGUUGUAUGGUAGUUGGAGAGCUAAAUGUGCGGAUUGGCUGAGUUGGCCAGCUAGAGUUAUUCAAUUAAAAAAAAAUUAAAAACAUCUCUGGAAACAUUGCUCCCAUCAAAUAUUAAAAUGAUAAAAUGUUAAAAAUUUAGGUACUGGAAUGUAUCAUGUUUCAAACUGUGAAAUGAAACAUACAGGUCAUUAAUAUUCAUGUUCACUUUUUUCUUUUUUUGAGACAUGGUCUCACUCUGCCACCUAGGCUGCAGUGCAGUAGCACUGCACUGAGCCUUGACCUCUCAGGCCCAAGCUAUCCUCCUUCC
rnacentral:lncRNA from 1 species